CGAACCGUGCGAACGUUGUUCGGAAUCACUGGGCUUAAAGGGCGCGUAGGCGGGCUGUCAAGUCUGGGGUGAAAUCCCACGGCUCAACCGUGGAACUGCCUCGGAUACUGACGGCCUCGAGGGGGUAGGGGCGUGCGGAACUGUGGGUGGAGCGGUGAAAUGCGUUGAUAUCCACAGGAACUCCGGUGGCGAAGGCGGCACGCUGGACCUUCACUGACGCUGAGGCGCGAAAGCCAGGGGAGCAAACGGGAUUAGAUACCCCGGUAGUCCUGGCCCUAAACGAUGGGUACUAGGUAGUAGACUUGACAUGGGUUUACUGCCGAAGCAAAAGUGCUAAGUACCCCGCCUGGGGAGUAUGGUCGCAAGGCUG
rnacentral:rRNA from 1 species